rnacentral:tRNA from 1 species
CCGCUCCUAGCUCAACUGAACAGAGCGUCGGGCUUCGAACCCGAAGGUUGGGGGUUCGAGCUCAUCGGAGCGGG